rnacentral:rRNA from 1 species
UACGGGGGGGAGCAAGCGUUGUUCGGAUUUACUGGGCGUAAAGGAUGCGUAGGCGGACAUUUAAGUCAGAUGUGAAAUACCCCGAGCUUAACUUGGGUGCUGCAUUUGAAACUGGGUGUCUAGAGUGCAGGAGAGGUAAGUGGAAUUCCUAGUGUAGCGGUGAAAUGCGUAGAGAUUAGGAAGAACACCAGUGGCGAAGGCGACUUACUGGACUGUAACUGACGCUGAGGCAUGAAAGCGUGGGGAGCAAACGGG